AAAUUUAUGCGCAGGGGGUGGGUGAGAACCACCGACGUGGUUCGAGCCGAAGUGAGCCCGCGAACGAAGACAACGUUGCGUGCUUUUCCGCAACGGCCCGAAGGGGAAUAAUCCACCCCCCACCACCA
rnacentral:sRNA from 1 species